AACGAACGCUGGCGGCAGGCUUAACACAUGCAAGUCGAGCGCCCCGCAAGGGGAGCGGCAGACGGGUGAGUAACGCGUGGGAAUCUACCCGUCUCUACGGAAUAACGCAUGGAAACGUGUGCUAAUACCGUAUACGUCCUUCGGGAGAAAGAUUUAUCGGAGAUGGAUGAGCCCGCGUUGGAUUAGCUAGUUGGUGGGGUAAAGGCCUACCAAGGCGACGAUCCAUAGCUGGUCUGAGAGGAUGAUCAGCCACACUGGGACUGAGACACGGCCCAGACUCCUACGGGAGGCAGCAGUGGGUAAUAUUGGACAAUGGGCGCAAGCCUGAUCCUGCCAUGCCGCGUGAGUGAUUAAGGCCCUAGGGUUGUAAAGCUCUUUCACCGGUGAAGAUAAUGACGGUAACCGGAGAAGAAGCCCCGGCUAACUUCGUGCCAGCAGCCGCAGUAAGAC
rnacentral:rRNA from 1 species